rnacentral:lncRNA from 1 species
AAGGAAUUGGCUAAUCAAACACAUUUCUUAUGCAAUCUCUACUGGAACUAAUAAUAAUAUGUGGUACGAUCCUUGGGUGAAUGGGAAAAGUAUAUUUCAAUUAUAUGGUGACAGAAUACGAAAAGACCUUGGGGCUCCCAAAGAUUGGAAGGUUUCCGAGUUCAUUGCUAAUGGUACCUGGUGUCUCCCUACUCCUAUUUCUCCUGAAAUGUUAUCACUUUGGCCGACUAUCACAGCUAUUCCAAUCAGGAACAAC